UACGGAGGGUGCAAGCGUUGUUCGGAAUUACUGGGCGUAAAGCGCGCGUAGGCGGCUUCUUAAGUCAGGGGUGAAAUCCUGGAGCUCAACUCCAGAACUGCCUUUGAUACUGAGGAGCUUGAGUCCGGGAGAGGUGAGUGGAACUGCGAGUGUAGAGGUGAAAUUCGUAGAUAUUCGCAAGAACACCAGUGGCGAAGGCGGCUCACUGGCCCGGUACUGACGCUGAGGUGCGAAAGCGUGGGGAGCAAACAGG
rnacentral:rRNA from 1 species